rnacentral:rRNA from 1 species
CCUACGGGAGGCAGCAGUGGGGAAUAUUGCACAAUGGGGGAAACCCUGAUGCAGCGACGCCGCGUGAGUGAAGAAGUAUUUCGGUAUGUAAAGCUCUAUCAGCAGGGAAGAAAACAGACGGUACCUGAUUAAGCAGCCCCGGCUAACUACGUGCCAGCAGCCGCGGUCAUACGUAGGGGGCAAGCGUUAUCCGGAUUUACUGGGUGUAAAGGGAGCGUAGACGGCGCGGCAAGUCUGAAGUGAAAGGCAGGGGCUUAACCCCUGAACUGCCUUGAAAACGGCCAUGCUAGAGUGCUGGAGAGGGAAGUGGAAUUUCUAGUGUAGCGGUGAAAUGCGUAGAGAUUAGGAGGAACACCAGUGGCGAAGGCGGCUUACUAGACAGUAACUGACGUUGAGGCACGAAAGCGUGGGGAGCAAACAGGAUUAGAUACCCGGGUAGUC